AGUGAACGCUGGCGGUAGGCCUAACACAUGCAAGUCGAACGGCAGCACAGUAAGAGCUUGCUCUUACGGGUGGCGAGUGGCGGACGGGUGAGGAAUACAUCGGAAUCUACUUUUUCGUGGGGGAUAACGUAGGGAAACUUACGCUAAUACCGCAUACGACCUACGGGUGAAAGCAGGGGAUCUUCGGACCUUGCGCGAUUGAAUGAGCCGAUGUCGGAUUAGCUAGUUGGCGGGGUAAAGGCCCACCAAGGCGACGAUCCGUAGCUGGUCUGAGAGGAUGAUCAGCCACACUGGAACUGAGACACGGUCCAGACUCCUACGGGAGGCAGCAGUGGGGAAUAUUGGACAAUGGGCGCAAGCCUGAUCCAGCCAUACCGCGUGGGUGAAGAAGGCCUUCGGGUUGUAAAGCCCUUUUGUUGGGAAAGAAAGGCAGCAGGUUAAUACCCCGCUGUUCUGACGGUACCCAAAGAAUAAACACCGGCUAACUUCGU
rnacentral:rRNA from 1 species